rnacentral:rRNA from 1 species
CCAGACAUGAAGUUAGAUCAGCAAACCCGCCGAAUUUAAGCAUAUAAGUAAGCGGAGGAUGAGAAACUAAAUAGGAUUCCCUUAGUAAUGGCGAACGAACAGGGAAGAGCUCAGAUUGUAUAUCGGGGCCUCUGGCUUCGAAUUGUAGUCUCGAAAUGCAACGCCAACGGAGGCGCAGAUUUAAGCCCCUUGAAAGAGAGCGCCGACGAGGGUGAGAGUCCCGUUUGUCAAUCUGCAGCCCUCCGUACACGGCUUGCACUUGCAGAGUCACGUUCCUCGGGAUUGGAGCGCAAAGUGGGUGGUAAAUUUCAUCUAAAGCUAAAUACGUGUUUGAGACCGAUAGCACACRAGUACCAUGAGGGAAAGAUGAAAAGGACUUUGAAAAGAGAGUUAAAAGUGCCUGAAAUUGCUGCAAGGGAAGCGGAUGGAACCAGUCCACACGGUGAGAUUGUUGGGUGGAGGCGAAGGGAGUUGCACUUUCAACGCAAGUGUGAGUGUGAGUUCUGGUCGUCUCUCGCCCGGUGGUUCUUGCCGUGGGGGUCAUUGGUGAUUGGUGGCCGAGGAUACCUGCAAAGGCAUGGUAGCCCGUCUCCGGGUGGGUGAACGCGUUUGUUAGUACUCGGCCGCUGAUCAUGUGAGUGGUGUCCGGUAACCGGCGAACGACUUCGGUGGCCCAGCCGCUUGGGUUGAUCGUGGGUCCUGACACACGUCUACGACCAAAUGGUUCUUUCCGACCCGUCUUGAAACACGGACCAAGGAGUCUAGCAUAUGUGCGAGUGCUUGGGCUGCAAACCCAUGCGCGCAACGAAAGUGACUGCUGAGAUCUUUGCACCAGCAACCGACUGAUCAAUUGCGAGACGUUUGAGUGUGAGCAUAUCUGUUAGGACCCGAAAGAUGGUGAACUAUGCCUGUGAAGGGUGAACCCAGGGGAAACUCUGGUGGAGGCUCGUAGCGAUACUGACGUGCAAAUCGUUCGUCAUACAUGGGUAUAGGGGCGAAAGACUAAUCGAACCAUCUAGUAGCUGGUUCCCUCCGAAGUUUCCCUCAGGAUAGCUGGAGU